rnacentral:rRNA from 1 species
UACGAAGGGGGGCUAGCGUUGCUCGGAAUCACUGGGCGUAAAGCGCACGUAGGCGGAUUGUUAAGUCAGGGGUGAAAUCCUGGAGCUCAACUCCAGAACUGCCUUUGAUACUGGCGAUCUCGAGUCCGGGAGAGGUGAGUGGAACUGCGAGUGUAGAGGUGAAAUUCGUAGAUAUUCGCAAGAACACCAGUGGCGAAGGCGGACUCACUGGCCCGGUACUGACGCUGAGGUGCGGAAAGCGUGGGGAGCAAACAGGG